UAGAGGAGCAGCAACCUCGCCUGCCAUUAUUGUUGCUGGUGAUAUUCUCUGGUACAAGAGCACGGAACCAUCACCAGAUGCUCACUGCAGGUUCUUAGUGCAAUCUGAGCAAGAGACAAGCUACUGUCACAGAAAAUGUGAAAUGGUUGGAUCUCAGCACAGCAAAGUACCCAAAAACUGUGUUGUCUAGCUGUUUGAUCACUGGAAAGAGCCAUCAACUCUUACAUUACUUCACUGCACAAUUAAUACAUGCAUGCACAUGCAAUAAACAAUGUGACAAUUUAUCACUCAAUACAAGUGAAUUCCAUUUCUUUAAUUUGUGCUUUAAUUGUUGUUGUAAUUUGUUGUAUUAUGUAUUGUGUCUAUUUUUGUUUCCAAUAAUGCUGAUCAUUUCUCCAAA